GGCGGCGGUGGCGGUGGUGGGUACCCCAACUAUGACAGCUCCGGCAACUCAUACGGAAGAGGUGGCUAUAGACCCAACUCUCCCUACAGCCACACCUAUGGUGGAGACGAACAUUCCACAUACGGCAACCCCCAAGGUAACCGACUGACUCAGUCGCCCCGGUCGUUGAUAAGCACGUGCUGCUGCUCCUCUCUGGGGGAGGGGCCGUGCAGGCAUGCCUGAUCCCAGCCUCACGACUUCUGCAUAGCGAUUUUAGUGCCUCUGCGUGUAACGGGCCUUCUGGACGAGGCUGUCUGAGGUUCAGAAUAGGAUUGACGGGAGUCCAGAGGGAGGGGAGGCAAGGGCUACAAGAUGCCUCUUAGCUUUCCGAGCAAGGCUUUGCAUGAUGGCUGGGGGUCCCCAGACCUCUGCGGGCACCACAGUGACUCCCCUGUCUGUGACCAGCACACAGGGCUGGCCAGGGGAGACGCUGGUGGAGCCUGCACUUCAUACAAGCUCCAUAGGAAAGAGCCUGCCCGUCUUCACACGUAUGUGAAGAACAGAUCUGAGGCCACUAAGACUCUGGGAGACCGGCUUUAAGGACAGUUCGUCUGUGGGAAGGAGAUGAACAGGCCAGCUGAGUUAGAGUCCAGGCAGGGGAGGUAGAAAAAAAGAGGUCAGUGCAGAGGGCCAACUGGGUAGUGAGAAUUGAUGGCACUUGUAUUGAUUUGCCGUGGAAUGGCAGAGAGGAAAGAGGCAUGUAUCAGUCAGCUAUGCUGCGUAACGAAAGACCCCAAAACUUAGUUGCUGGAAACAGCAACUAUUUAUUGCGAUCACUAUCGAGUGAGUCAUCAAUUUGGGCUAAAACCAUCCAUUCUGAUGGCCUCUGAACACGCUUCCUUGUCUGUGGUCGGCUGCAGAUCUGGCCGGCCAUGUAUGGCCAUGUUGGCUGGGUCUUCUCAUGUAUCUGGGGCCAGAGGUGGGAUGGAUCAGUUCAGAUUCCCGUGGGCUCUCCCGUCCCUCCCAGAGGCCAGGGCACGUUGGAUCACGUGACAGCCAGGCAGGGUCCUAAGAGGAUGCGGACAAGAGUGCCCGGGCUUAGAAGUGGCUCAGCUGCACUUCCGCCAAAGUGCGUUGGCCAAAGCCUAGAUUCUUGGGAAGAAGACGUGGACCCCACCUCUCCAUGGGAAAUGCAGCGGGUGUGGAUAUAGGAAGCGGAAGACUAGAAGGCAGCCAGUCUCGCCCCAGGAGGCAGGGUGAGGAGGGGCUGCCAGACGUAGAGCAGAUUCUCAAGAUCAGUCAUAAUUCUUUUCCACCUAACACGGCAGACCCAUUUGAGGAUCAGCCACACAUCCAUCACCUUUGCCAGGCCAGGUGCUGGCCCAGGUGUUCCACC